rnacentral:lncRNA from 1 species
AUUAUUUAAUAAAACACCUAUAAACCAUGGCGGAAAGUGGGUCAAAUCAAUUGUCUAUCAACUCCCAUAGACUUAUCCUUUUGCUUGUCCUCAAACAAAACAAACAGACAGUCUCUCUAAAAGAGGUUUGAAAACAUCAGGGACUCACACAAUCUUAAUUUUACUACUUUUACCUCUGCAGUAUUGCAAACCACAUCAGAUUAAUGUCAACUUUAGAGGCACUUCAUGUACUAGACCUUAGCUUAGCAACCAACCCUUUCAGCCCACAGCUUAGCUGAUUCCGC